rnacentral:snoRNA from 1 species
GCAUGAGUUUGGAUUUAUGGCAGGCCCGUCCCCCUGAGCCUGUCAUAGUGUCCCAUGCUAGAGCAAUCCGUGGCCCUGAACCAUUGCCUGGCCUCCUUGUCUAUGGGCCUUGGCACUGAAGCGGGCUGUACAGUG